rnacentral:lncRNA from 1 species
GUUCUGAGGAAAGUGUUGUUGUAAAGAGAAGGAAUGGGAUGGAACAAUGCCCAAAGAAGGGUGUAAAUUCACCCAAGACUUUUGCUUUGCAUAUUUCAGUGGAAGAUAGAACACGGUUCUUUGCUAAAGAAGUUGAUCUUGUGGGGAAUAGGGGGUGAGGGGAUCAGGAGCAAAUCGUUGAAUGACAGAAGGGCCAGGACCCAGAAAACACACAGAGGGGAGGGGUCAGCCUUGAUGAGCAGGAGGAGCUGGAGGAAGACAAAGAUGAUGAGUGAGAGCAGUUGCCAGGUUCUUUGUAGAGUGAUAAAGGAAAAAGAGUUCCCAUGGCUUCUGUUUUGUCAUUAAAGUAAUUGAAGUGAGGUCUUGUGUAAGAGGACAAGGGAGAGUGAAAUGCGUUGGAGGUUUGGGGAGAGAGAAAAGGUAUGAAAUGGUGUAUCUUGGAAUGUGAGAAGGAGCUGGAUGACAGACAUGGAGUACCAUUGCUUCAGAAAAGAGGCAGCCUUUGUUGUCUUUCUCUGCUCCCCAUGACUGGGACUGAGAAGGAAGAGGAUGAAAGGAGCCAGUAUUUACUGAGUGCUUGCUUACCAGGGCUUAUGAUCUUUGCAAGAUAUGUAUCGGGAAGAUGUCUGUCUGGGUGGUUGAAGGCCUUUCAGUCUAAUAGUGACAGAGAUUAACCCCUGCCAAUCAGAGGUCAAUAGAAAGUGGGUAAACUCUGGCUGGAGGCCAUGCUGAGUUCAUUGGAGACAGAAAAAAAAAAAAAAGGACAAAGGACCAAGAAAAUAACAACAGGAAUAGAAAACAUGUUCUCUCCAAAUACCUUCUCUCCUCCUCUCAGUCCCCCAAAGCAAUGGAACAAUUCCGUUUUUCCCUUUAAUAUGGGGAGUAGAAGACAAAAGAAAACUAUAUGGUAGUGGGCAUGAAUGUAGAAUAGAAUUCCUUUAAGUCUCACAGAAAUAUUCAAAUGGAGGAGAAAGCGGAUAGAGGAUAUAAAGGAGAAUAAGCAGACAUCCCUCCAAUGUGCCUUUCUCAAACACUUCACUUCUGAUAUUUACCCAUGUUUCAUAUUUCUACACACAUAAGCUGGUUAUGUGGUAGCUCUAUAGAUUUGUUAUAUUGUUCAAUGGCAAGGUUCCCAAAAAGAGCUAGGGAGGAACAGAAUGUUGAGCCAGAAGUUUUCCCUGGCAUAAAGCUUUACAUUAUUACUUUAAUAAAGAAAUGAGAAGAUAGGGGCCAGGGAUUUAGCUCAGUGGCACUGCACCUACCUGGCAAGUGCAAGGUCCUGAGUUUGAUUCCUGGUACCAAAAAAAAAGAGAAAUGAGAAGACAGCAAAUGCACCGAAAAUACUCCUUAAUAUUCACAGUGAGAUCCCUGGUAGAAGGUGUUGGUGCCUUUUCCAAAAAAUAUUUGUACAUAUGUGUAUGGCCAUGGUCAUAUAAGUUGGCACUGUACUUUUAGAAAGUACGAUGAGUAUGAUGAGGUACAAAAUUUUUUGUGUGUUUAUUUGGGGUUCUUUUGUUUCAGGGAUCGAACUCGGGACCUUGUGCUUACAAGGCAGACAGUGGAACCACUGAGCUAAAUCCCCGGCCCUGAGGUACAAAAUUUUUAAUGUAUUUGAUCCAAUAAACUUUUAAAGGAAAGAACAUACAAGCAGUAAGACAUGCACAAGUUUUUAUGACUAUGAAACAUCAAAAGCAAUCACAAUAUUCAACAUCUAGGAAUAAAUAAGUAAACUGCUAUCCAUUCAGGUGAUGGAAUAUGAUACAGCCACUAUAAUUAGUAGUGUGGUGAAGCCAGCCCAUAGUGCCUUAAGAGAGCCAACUGUGUGCAUGCACUCUUCCAAAUUCUGCAUUCAAUGAUGAAUAAUGUCAGUAGCAUUAAAUCAGCCAUGGUUGGGAUAUUUACACCAGGGAAACUGGAAAACAGCCCCAUUCCUAGAGCUCAAGCUAUCAAAUAUUUAUCAGGACACCAUUGCUAAUAGUGUUAUAUAAGCUGAAUACAAAGUUGUAUGUAUAUUAUUGCCAUAACAAUAAACAUGAAACAAUAAAAAUGAAUAUGAAUAAAAAUAAAAUAUAGAAGACAAUAUAGAAAAAUUGGAAAAAAGAUUAUUGUUGAUAAAUUAUUUCUUUGGUAGCUGGGCAUGGUGGCACACACCUGUAAUCCCAGCACUCCAGAGGCUGAGAAAGGAAAAUUGCUCUGAGUUCCAAGCCAGCCUGGACUACAGAAUAAGUUCAAGGCCAGUCUGAACUACAAAGUGAGACUUUGUCUCAAAAAACCAAAAUAAAACAAUCAUUUCUUUGCUUUUCAAUUUUUUGGGGGGUACCAGGGAUUGAACUCAGGACCUUGUGCUUGUGAGGCAGGCGGUGGAACCACUGAGCUAAAUCCCCAGCAUUCUUUGCUUUUCAAUUUUAAGUUCUGUUUACUGCU